rnacentral:misc_RNA from 1 species
GUGAAUCAUCGAAUCUUUGAACGCAUCUUGCGCUCUUGGGUUAUUCCUAAGAGCAUGCUUGUUUGAGUAACAGAAAAGCUCAACCCCGCUUUCUUUAUUGAAAGUAGACCUGGGUUAGGAUCAUGACAGUUUGUUGGGACGCUUUUAAGUGUGUCAACUCUGUCGAAAUACAAGCGGCCGAACUUGAAAUUGUGUGAGCUUCGGCUAACUCAUCGUUAUAUAACUAUUUGUCUCGAUAAGUCAUGCACUCUUUUAAAUAAAGUAGGCUUUGAAACCACAGACUCCUGGCUUAAAACCCCA